rnacentral:rRNA from 1 species
AGAGUUUGAUCAUGGCUCAGAACGAACGCUGGCGGCAUGCCUAACACAUGCAAGUCGAACGAGACCUUCGGGUCUAGUGGCGCACGGGUGCGUAACGCGUGGGAAUCUGCCCCUCGGUUCGGAACAACAGUUAGAAAUGACUGCUAAUACCGGAUAAUGACGAAAGUCCAAAGAUUUAUCGCCGAGGGAUGAGCCCGCGUAGGAUUAGCUUGUUGGUGGGGUAAUGGCCCACCAAGGCGACGAUCCUUAGCUGGUCUGAGAGGAUGAUCAGCCACACUGGGACUGAGACACGGCCCAGACUCCUACGGGAGGCAGCAGUGGGGAAUAUUGGACAAUGGGCGAAAGCCUGAUCCAGCAAUGCCGCGUGAGUGAUGAAGGCCUUAGGGUUGUAAAGCUCUUUUACCAGGGAUGAUAAUGACAGUACCUGGAGAAUAAGCUCCGGCUAACUCCGUG